rnacentral:rRNA from 1 species
CGAAGGGUGCAAGCGUUACUCGGAAUUACUGGGCGUAAAGCGUGCGUAGGUGGUUUGUUAAGUCUGAUGUGAAAGCCCUGGGCUCAACCUGGGAAUUGCAUUGGAUACUGGCAGGCUAGAGUGCGGUAGAGGAUGGCGGAAUUCCCGGUGUAGCAGUGAAAUGCGUAGAGAUCGGGAGGAACAUCUGUGGCGAAGGCGGCCAUCUGGACCAGCACUGACACUGAGGCACGAAAGCGUGGGGAGCAAACAGGAUUAGAUACCCUGGUAGUCCACGCCCUAAACGAUGCGAACUGGAUGUUGGGAGCAAUUAGGCUCUCAGUAUCGAAGCUAACGCGUUAAGUUCGCCGCCUGGGGAGUACGGUCGCAAGACUG